CCUACGGGAGGCAGCAGUAGGGAAUCUUGGACAAUGGGCGCAAGCCUGAUCCAGCCAUGCCGCGUGUGUGAAGAAGGCCUUUUGGUUGUAAAGCACUUUAAGCGAGGAGGAGGCUACUUAGAUUAAUACUCUAGGAUAGUGGACGUUACUCGCAGAAUAAGCACCGGCUAACUCUGUGCCAGCAGCCGCGGUAAU
rnacentral:rRNA from 1 species